CCUACGGGAGGCAGCAGUGGGGAAUAUUGGGCAAUGGAGGAAACUCUGACCCAGCGACGCCGCGUGCGGGAUGAAGGCCUUCGGGUUGUAAACCGCUUUCAGCAGGGAAGAAGCGAAAGUGACGGUACCUGCAGAAGAAGCACCGGCUAACUAUGUGCCAGCAGCCGCGGUAAUACAUAGGGUGCAAGCGUUGUCCGGAAUUAUUGGGCGUAAAGAGCUCGUAGGUGGUUCGUCACGUCGGAUGUGAAAAUCUGGGGCUUAACCCCAGACCUGCAUUCGAUACGGGCGAGCUUGAGUAUGGUAGGGGAGUCUGGAAUUCCUGGUGUAGCGGUGGAAUGCGCAGAUAUCAGGAGGAACACCAAUGGCGAAGGCAGGACUCUGGGCCAUUACUGACACUGAGGAGCGAAAGCGUGGGGAGCGAACAGGAUUAGAUACCCUGGUAGUCCACGCCGUAAACGGUGGGCACUAGUUGUGGGGAACCUUCCACGGUCUCUGCGACGGCNGCUACGCAUAGUAGCCCGCCGUCGGGAGGACGAGUCGCAGAUAAACUACGAAGAAGUAGACGGCGNGAGACGUGCCGACGGACGACGACGAGGGAGGAGG
rnacentral:rRNA from 1 species